rnacentral:rRNA from 1 species
AUAGCCGCAGUAUCCUAACUGUGCUAAGGUAGCAUAAUAAUUUGUCUUAUAAUAGAAGACUGGAAUGAAAGAGUUAAUAACACUGAACCUUUUUUAAUUAUCUUGUGGAAAUUAAUAUUUGCAUCAAAAAGUGCAACUUUUUAAAAAGACGAUAAGACCCUAUAAAACUUUUAUUAACAUACUUAUCUUUAUCGAUUUAGAAUUUAAUAAAUUUAAAUAAUUAAUUAAGCUGGGGCGGCAUCUAAAAAUUCUUAAGAAAAUUCAACAAUUUUUGUGAAACAAAAGAUCUCAAAGAGAAAUAGAAUAAGUUACUUUAGGGAUAACAGCACAAUUUUUUCAUAUAGAUCUUAUAGAAGAAAAAGACUUGUGACCUCGAUGUUGAAUUGAGAAGCCUGACUUGAGCAAAAAUAAGUCAAGAAGGUCUGUUCGACCUUUAAACUCUCA